UACCAGUUUCCCGCUCCGGAACCCGUGC
rnacentral:sRNA from 1 species